GACGUCCUUCUGUGCUUUAGAGGUGCUGCUGCCGUUCUAUGAGUGCAGGAGCCUUGGAGCUGGCGGCAGAAGAGCCUGUACAUAACCUGGAGGAAGGACCAUUAUCAUUCCUUAUGAAAAGGAAGAUAGCUCAGAGGCUUGCUAUUCAGAAAGCUUUGUCAGAUGCAUUACAGAAACUAUUGAUUGUGGUUUUAGCAGGUCCAGGCUGAGUUCAAACCCACCAACACCGGUACAGGGGGCCAGCACUCUAACCAUUGAGCUAUAGGUACCCAGCCAAUUUUAAAUAAUUUUUAAAAAUAGAGACAAGAUCUCACUAUGCUGCCCAGGGUAGUCUCAAACUCCUGGCCUCAACCAAUAUUCUUGCCUCAGCCUCCCAAAGUACUGGGAUUUUGAAAAGUUAAGUGGAUGAAAAUAUGGAUAUCUAAAACACUCCAUCUUAUGUUCUUAUUCACUAAAUUCUUCUACGGAAAUGGUCUCAGAUUUGUUCUCUGUGACAUCUGUGAGAAAAAUGACAGCAAAUAUUAUUGUACGCAUUUUGUAGGUGUAGAAUGACUUGCCUCAGUUCACAUAGAAAGUCUUUGAUCCAGGUAUUCUUUCUCAAUUGUUUGCCUAGCAUGCAGAAUACUGAUUAUGAGAUUUUUUUUUUUUUUUUUUUUGAGAUAGAGUCUCAAGCUGUUGCCCUGGGUAGAGUGCCGUGGUGUCGUAACUCAUAGCAACCUCCAACUCUUGGGCUUAAGUGGACCUCUUGCCUCAGUUCUUCUAUUUUUAGUGGAGACAGCCUCAUUUUUGCUCAGGCUGUUCAUGAACUCGUGAACUCAAGCAAUCCACCUGCCUUGGCCUCCCAGGGUGCUAGGAUUACAGGCAUGAGCCACCAAGCCCAGCCUGACUAUAAGCUUUGAACACCUGGGUUCAAGUUCUAACUCAAUCUCUUCAAGAUUUUUUAUGUAAUUUAGGUUUUAUAACCAGAGAGAUUUGAAGAUGGUUAAUAUUUCUAAGCUACAGUCAUUUUCUCUGCAAAAUGAAGUUAGUAAUUCAACCUACCAUAUGGGAGAUAAUUGUAUGAGUAAGUGAGGUGACAAAUGCAAAAACUCAGAACUAUGCUUACGUAGUAAACAGACAAAAUAUGUUAACUAUUAUCAGUGUUGUUUUCUACCUGAAUAAAUAGAUAAAUGAAUUCUGUUGAAGAGAAAGUUUAUUAGAUUAUGUUUUUUGAAUCAAGAAUUCAGUUUCAGCUUUCAUUUCCGGCAUUGAUAUUGGGUGAAUGUGAUUCCUAUGUAGUACACAUAAUUGGCUGCUUUCCUGUGAGCUGUGAAAGUGGUUGUGCUAUUGAAUGGCACUGAUUGUGUCCCUGUUGAGUUCUACAGCAUUGUGACUGUUACAGGAAACUUGAUGAACAGGAAGUGCCUGAACA